ACCCGACGACGGUGCGCCAACCUCGCAAGAGGAAGCAGCCGGCCACGGUAGGCUCAGUGACUGGGGUGAAGUCGUAACAAGGUAGCCGUAGGUGAACCUCAGAAGGAUCA
rnacentral:rRNA from 1 species